rnacentral:rRNA from 1 species
UGUUUGAUGUUCUAACGUGGACCCGUAAUCCGGGUUGCGGACAGUGUCUGGUGGGUAGUUUGACUGGGGCGGUCUCCUCCUAAAGAGUAACGGAGGAGCACGAAGGUUGGCUAAUCCUGGUCGGACAUCAGGAGGUUAGUGCAAUGGCAUAAGCCAGCUUGACUGCGAGCGUGACGGCGCGAGCAGGUGCGAAAGCAGGUCAUAGUGAUCCGGUGGUUCUGAAUGGAAGGGCCAUCGCUCAACGGAUAAAAGGUACUCCGGGGAUAACAGGCUGAUACCGCCCAAGAGUUCAUAUCGACGGCGGUGUUUGGCACCUCGAUGUCGGCUCAUCACAUCCUGGGGCUGAAGUAGGUCCCAAGGGUAUGGCUGUUCGCCAUUUAAAGUGGUACGCGAGCUGGGUUUAGAACGUCGUGAGACAGUUCGGUCCCUAUCUGCCGUGGGCGCUGGAGAACUGAGGGGGGCUGCUCCUAGUACGAGAGGACCGGAGUGGACGCAUCACUGGUGUUCGGGUUGUCAUGCCAAUGGCACUGCCCGGUAGCUAAAUGCGGAAGAGAUAAGUGCUGAAAGCAUCUAAGCACGAAACUUGCCCCGAGAUGAGUUCUCCCUGAGACUUUAGGUCUCCUGAAGGAACGUUGAAGACGACGACGUUGAUAGGCCGGGUGUGUAAGCGCAGCGAUGCGUUGAGCUAACCGGUACUAAUGAACCGUGAGGCUUAACCUUACAACGCCGAAG